AGAGUUUGAUCCUGGCUCAGGAUGAACGCUGGCGGCGUGCUUAACACAUGCAAGUCGAACGAAACACCUUAUUUGAUUUUCUUCGGAACUGAAGAUUUGGUGAUUGAGUGGCGGACGGGUGAGUAACGCGUGGGUAACCUGCCCUGUACAGGGGGAUAACAGUCAGAAAUGACUGCUAAUACCGCAUAAGACCACAGCACCGCAUGGUGCAGGGGUAAAAACUCCGGUGGUACAGGAUGGACCCGCGUCUGAUUAGCUGGUUGGUGAGGUAACGGCUCACCAAGGCGACGAUCAGUAGCCCGACCUGUGAGGGUGACCGGCCACAUUGGGACUGAGACACGGCCCAAACUCCUACGGGACGCAGCAG
rnacentral:rRNA from 1 species